AAUUUGUUUAUAAGAACUUCAUGAUCUAUGAAUACAGAAAUAAGAAUACAGACAAAGACAAAUAAUAUAGAAAGAGUGACAAAGAAUACAGAAAGAUUUGAACUUUGAAGAACUAUCAAAAAACAUCUGAAGUAUUGUUUUUAUUCGAAAUCGUCUUUUUUUAUGAUGUACAA
rnacentral:lncRNA from 1 species